rnacentral:lncRNA from 10 species
GGCUGGGGUAGUUCCCUGAAUUUUGAGAUGCAGAAUCUAUAGAAUGAGUAGAGACAUAAGAAGCAGGGGAAGAAUUUAACGAGAUACCCAGUUUUAUAAGAGAUCAAGUUUUUCAUAAGAGCUGGGCUAUAGUAGAAAAGGAGACAGAAGAAAAUGGACGGUGAGGACAUUAUGCUAAGAGUAAUCAGUCAGUCGCAGAAGGACAAAUACUGCAUGGUUCCACUUACAUGAGGCAUCUAAAGUAGCCAAACUCAUAGAAGCAAAAACAGACAGUAAAAUGGUGGGGGAGAGGGAAAGUGGGGAGUUGCUGUUCAGUGGGUUUCAAUAACGCAAGAUGAAAAGGUUCUAGAGAGCGGCUGUACAACACUGCACCUAUGGUUAACGAUAACGUGCUAUACACUUAAAAACUGAAGAGGGUAGAUCUCAUAUUAUGAGGGGUUUUCUUGUUUGUUUUUUGUUUUAUUCUUAUUUUAAAAAGGAAUUAGUAGAAGAAAAUGGGGCCAGGGCUGAAGGCGGAGGAUGGGAGUUUGGCACAUGAGAGAUUCCAGAGCAGAUUCAAGAUAUAACAGAAUUGGAGAGUGGAGGAAGGAGUUUUUGAGAUGUGCGGUUCUGCGCUGGGAACUGGAUCCCCUUCAAUAAUUUAUAAGAGACAUGAAUAAAAAAUAGAAUCAAUUUUUAAUAACUUUGGAGGGAAUUCUUAUUUCUUCUUUAAAUGUGACUGUGGAUAGAAUGAACUGCAUGAGCAUCAGGAAUUUGUUACGGUUGCAUAUAUUAUGUCCUGUCUACAAUUAGAAUGAUAAAGUCUUGGGGAAAGUGCAGGCUCCAAGUCAAGUUGAAUAGCCUCUGCCUCUUACUAGCUCUAUGAUGUUGGGCAAGUUUCUUCCGCUGACAUGGAGGUCAUAAUACCUACUGCGUAAGUCUGUUUGGAGUAUUCAAUAUGAAUGAGAUUACAUAAAUGAUGGCACCUAUAGAGAAUGUGACAAAUAGUAGCUGUACCAUAACUGUGAUUGCUUUCAGAAUGACUCAGACCAGGGAACCUGUUAUGGUCGCAAGGUCUCAAACUUCAGAGAUCAUUCUAAUACUUAAGGAAAAGGACUAUAUUAACUGCUUUCCAAAGAAAUGGAGGCAAGAGAUGGCUCAAAUGCUCUAAGUUCUGCAAUCUCACCAUGCAGUACACAUCCCUAAAGCUUUGUAAGUUUAAAAGUUCCUCUGUGUAAAUUUAAAUUCCAAUGAGUUACUAUUUAUUCACCCAUCAGAUUGGCAAAGAUGGAAAAACUAAUAACACGUGUUAGCCAAGAGUGUGGAAAAAUGUGCACCUUCACACAUUGCUGAAGACAGCACAAAAUCACAUAACCUCUGUGUAAGGUAAUUUGACAAAAUCUAUCAAAAUUUUAAACGUACCUUUUAACAGCAAGUUUAUUUCUAGUAAUUUAGCUUACAGAUAUUCUCCCACAAAAUGAUAUAUGUAUGAUGGUAAUAUUUGCAACAUUGUUUGUAAUACCAAAAGCUUGCAAACAACAUAUAUGUCAAUCUAAAUGAAACUGGUCUAAUAAUAUAUGACUUUUAUUUUAUUUUAUUUUAUUUUAUUUUAUUUUAUUUUAAUUUUAUUUUAUUUUAUUUUAUUUUAUUUUAUUUUAUUUUUUGAGGCACAGUCUCACUCUGCUGCCCAGGCUGGAGUGCAGUGGCUCGGUCUCUGCUAACUGCAACCUCUGCCUCUCGGGUCCAAGUGAUUCUGGUGCCUCAGCCUCCUGAGUAGCUGGGACUACAGGCGAGUGCCACCACGCCCAGCUAAUUUUUGUAUUUUUAGUAGACAUGGGGUUUUGCACGUUGGCCAGGCUGGUCUCAAACUCCUGACACUCAAGUGAUCUGCCCACCUUGGCCUCCCAAAGUGCUGGGAUUACAAAUAUGAGCCACCGCACUUGGCCCCAAACAUAUUUCGACAAUUGAUUCUAUGCAGCAUUUAAUAAAAAUAAAACAGCUCUGGGCCAGGUGCAGUGGCUCACACCUGUAAUCCUAGCACUUUGGGAGGCUGAGGCAGGUGGAUUACCUGAGGUCAGGAGUUCAAGACCAGUCCGGCUAACAUGGUGAAACCUUGUCUCUAUUAAAAAAUACAAAAAUUAGCUGGAUGUGGUGGCACAUGCCUGUAAUCCCAGGUACUCGGGAGGCUGAGGCAGGAUAACUACUUGAACCCGAGAAGCAGAGGUUGCAGUGAGCCGAGAUCAUGCCACUGCACUCCAGCCUGACAACAGAGCGGAACUCUGUCUCAAAAAAAAAAAAAAAAAAAAACACAAAACGAAAAACAAAACCAUACUGCAGGCCAGGCAUGGUGGCUCAUGCCUGUAGUCCCAGCACUUUGGUAGUCAGAGGCGGGCGGAUCACCUGAGGUCAGGAGUUUGAGACUAGCUUGUCCAAAAUGGUGAAAACCCAUCUCUACUAAAAUUACAAAAAUUAGUCAGGCGUGGUGUCGUGCGCCUGUAAUCCCAGCUACUUCGGAGGCUGAGGCAGGAGAAUCGCUUGAACCCAGAAGGUGGAGGCUGCGCAAGAUUACGCCACUGCACUCCAGCCUGGGUGACACGACCAGAACUCCGUCUCAAAACAAAAACAAAACAAAACAAAACAAAAAACAUACUGCGGAGGGAGGGAGUAUUAAAGAGAAGCCUACAGCUUCUACAACUCAAACCAGGAGCUCAAUGUUCUUGAAUUGACAUGGUCCGAAGUGACAUCUCUCAGCUCUGCUUCUUUCUGCAGUUGGCCUCUUCUGCAGACAGUUUCUCCACAAUGGCUUCAAGCUGCUAGCACUUGCAUCAUCCACACAGCUUGCACCUCAGAGAAAGCUAUCUUUCCUGAUAGCUCCUGCAGAAAGGUCCAGUUUGGGUAAUGUGCCUGCCCCUGAACCAAUCACUGUGGCCAAGGAGAUGGAAUAGUCUGACUGGCCAGUCUUGAGGCUGAGGUGAGCUAAGCCCCACCCAAAUAGCAUAGAAUGGGGGAACCAGAAAGUUAUGUGCCAUUAAUAUUCAGCCUGGGGUUGGGUGCAGUGGCUUACGCUUGUAAUCCCAGCACUUUGGGAGGCUGAGGUGGGUGGAUCAUUUGAGGCCAGGAGUUCAAGACCAGCCUGGCCAACACGGUGAAACCCCGUCUCUACUAAAAAUACAAAAAAAAAAAUAAAAAUAAAAAAACUAGCCGGGCAUGGUGGUGGAAACCUAUAAUCCCAGAUACUUGUGAGGCUGAGGCAGGAGAAUCGCUUGAACCUGUGAGGCAGAGGUUGCAGUGAGCCGAGAUCAUGCCAUUGCACUCCAGCCUGGGCAACAAGAGCGAAACUCCAUCUAAAAAAAAAAAAAAAAAAAAAAUUCAGCCUGGGCAAGGAAGAGGAGAGAUAGUAGCUUUGAUAAGGAGAAACCAUCCAGGCUGAGUUAUAGGGGCUAGGAAUUAAAACGGAGCCAUCCAGGGUUUAAAAACGGGUCUCAGAGCUGAAUGAAAAGAUCUCUGUGGUUCCGUGGAGACUUUUAACGCCACACUCUUUCAAUUUAGGAGACAGCCUUCCUGGGCAUCUACAGCGGGGCCCAGUGCAACGCUGUGAGCUACAAUGGGCAGCCACAGGGAUGCACCAAGCAGUCUUUGUCAAAAUUGACUAAUGCAAUCUCCUCUUUUGCUUCAGACAUUGAGUCCUAACCACUAUUUGUCAUCACCUAAACCGUUGGUAGUUUCUCAAAAUUUUUCCCUGUUUAACACAUCUGAAGGAAAUAAUACACCUCUGUAUGUAAAGUGGCCCUUAUUAUAUCAGUGAUUGGGGAGGCAGAGGAUGCUGGGAUUUUCAGAGGGAAAAGGCAUUCCCUGGCAAAGAAUGUUAGGAUGCUGUGGAGAAAGAAGGGAGGAUUAACAUUUUUAAAAAGUCGCCUGGGUGAUUCUGCUAUACCUAGGUAGAAAGGCAUUCCUCCCUCUGUCCCAUGCUACAGGGGAGAAUCAAUAUUGUUCCACAUACAAAAUUUUAACCCUAUAGGUCAUCCAGUGUGACACUAGCCACCUACUCAUGGUAAUCGCUAACAAGGCAGCCACUUGUAACACAAUCUAAAUCUUGGGAUUGGCCAGGUGCGGUGGCUCACGUCUGUAAUCCCAGCACUUCGGGAGGCCGGGGCAGGCAGAUCACCUAAGGUCAGGAGUUCGAGAUCAGCCUGGCCAACAUGGUGAAACCCCGUCUCUACUAAAAAUACAAAAAUUAGCUGGGUGUGCUGACAGGUGCCUGUAAUCCCAGCUACUUGGGAGGCUGAGGCAGGAGAAUCACUUGAACCCGGGAGGUGGAGGUUGCAGUGAGCCGAGAUCGCAUCACUGAAUUCCAGCCUGGGCGAUAAGAGCAAAACUCCAUCUCAAAAAAUAGAUAAAUAAAUCUUGAGACUUUACAAGUCCCAAAUCCAUAUCCCAUGAGGGCAUUUGCAAACAUAAUGUUAAAUUUCUUAAUGUUGUGCCUACCCUCUGACCCAGUAAGUCUACUUCUGGGCAUAAAACUAUAAUCAGUGUUUGCUAUAAUACAAAUUUAUGCAAAUUUAUAAAUAUAAUUAUUAAUAACUUGUGUAACAGAAAAAUUAUUAGGUGGCAAUAUUAAGUGGAAAAACAAAUGGAUGAUAUAAUAUCAGUUAUAUAAAAUAUGCAUUAAAAAGGACUUUAAAACAUAUUAAAAUGUUAUCAACAGCUAUCCUUGGAUGGUGAGUUACUUUCUUCUUUCUGCUUUUCUAUAUUCUGUAAACUGUCUAUAUUAAGAAUGACUGAUUUUUAAUUUUAGUAAAAAUAAAACAAAUUGUUUAAGAGUUACCUUCAUAUACAUUAAGACAUUAUAGUGAAUAUCCCUGGGUAAGUGGAAUUGUGGAGUCUGUUGUUCUUUGUAGUUUCAUGUUUUCCAGUGAUAAAUAUUCAUUAUUUUUGAGAAAAAGGAAAAAACUAAUAAAAGAAACAUUUUAAAAAGAAAUGUCACUUUGGACCAUGUCAAUUCAAUAAUUCAUUCAAAGCAUUUAGGGUUGCCUUCCCUACCCCCUUGCCACCCAACUCUUUGUAACUUAAAAUAAAAGGCCAUUAUCCAUUUUGCCUCAUAGAAAGCCAUUUCUUGCAGGAUUGUAAACCACAAACAACGGGAAGACACACUCACUGAGCUGUGCAUUUGCAAAAUGCAUGCAGUCAGGAGUUAGUAUGAGCAAUGUUUCUCUAAGAGGAACAAUGCACAUAACUCCCUCCUGCAGAAAUGUUUUACCAGUGCCUCAUAAAUGUGGGCUCAAUGUAACUGAGGACAAAAGAAAUCUUCAGGUCCUUUGAAAGAGCAUUCAGCUUUCAGAAGCCAACAGAGAGAGUUCAAAAAGUUCCAAAAAUAAGAAUCUUCCAUAAGAUAUCCUCAUUCCCAGCCAGUGAGGUGCAGUUUCUGUGGCAGAGGAAAGAGAGCAGAUUCUGGAGUCACAGUCCUGUCAUUUAUCCCACCAAGAAACAGGUAGAUCUUCGACUUCCAUCCUUCCUCAGUAGAAUCUUAGCCCAAGACCCCGUCAUCUCUCACUUGGAUUGUUGACAUGUCCACCUUGCUUUUCUCAGCACUUCCACUCUUUCAUCUUUCUAACCUUUUUCUUUACAGAAAAGCCAAAGUGAUUAUUUAAAAAAAUAAAUUAGAGCAUUUUGCCUCCUGUUUGAAACCCUUGAAGACUGACCCAUUCCAUCACAAAUAAAAUGUAUAUUCCUCUUCAUAGUUAAGAAAUCUGAUAGGACUAGAGCUGCCUUCUCUCCACUGUCAUCCUGGGCCUCUGUGACCUCACCAGCGUUCCUGCAGCUAUAUUGGAGUAUUUUCGGUUCCUUGGGUACAUUGAGCUUCUUCCCACUUCUGAGCCUUUAAACCAGCUGUGUGCUCUACUUGGAAGAACUCUGCCUUCUCCUUUUAUGGUUUCAGCUAAAUUUCAGCUCCCUUGAAAGGCCUGUCUGACCACCCAAUCUAAGUAGUUCUCCUCCUCCCAACCCUGCCCCCAAUAUUCUCUACCAU